rnacentral:rRNA from 1 species
AUUGAACGCUGGCGGCAGGCUUAACACAUGCAAGUCGAGCGAGCGGCGGACGGGUGAGUAAUGUCUGGGAAACUGCCUGAUGGAGGGGGAUCACUACUGGAAACGGUAGCUAAUACCGCAAACCAUCAGAUGUGCCUAGAUGGGAUUGGCUAGUAGGUGGGGUAAUGGCUCACCUGGGCGCCGAUCCCUAGCUGGUCUGAGAGGAAGACCCGCCACACUGGAACUGAGACACGGUCCAUGCGCCUACGGGAGGCAGCAGUGGGGAAGAUUGCACAAUGGGCGCAAGCCUGAUGCAGCCAGGCCGCGUGUGUGAAGAAGGCCUUCGGGUUGUAAAGCACUUUCAGCGAGGAGGCGUUACUCGCAGAAGAAGCACCGGCUAACUCCGUGCCAGCAGCCGCGGUAAUUC